AGGGACACCCUUGCUGUACUUCUGCGUUUAUCUCAUUUUCUGAACCUCUGAAGAUUUUUCUCUUCCAUACAGUACUGAAAUACACAGGCUCAAACCCAGAUGACAACACAGGGAAAGAGGACAAAGUCACCAGAAGAGGAGCUGGACAAGAAGAGGCUCUGACUUGGUUUUCUGCUUGAGCUACCGCAAAGUUUCCACGCACCUGCUUUCCUGCACACCUACAC